rnacentral:lncRNA from 1 species
GACCAAUACAGAUGUACCAUAAUACUAAGGCUAACCAGAGCUGCCCGUACUACUAUGACUGAAAUAGAGUUUGUGUCACAAAUCCCACCCUUUUCCUGAUAUAGUGCCCUUCUGAACAGGGCCCAUAGGGCUUUGGUCAACAGUAGUGCACCAUGCAGGGAAUAAAGUGCAGUUUGGGACGUAAACAAAUAUAUUUUGUUUCAAAACUUCCAACUGGCAUAAAAUUCCAGUAAUAAUAGCAAUUUACUGGAUGGAAAAUCUGGUUUGAAAUACAUUACAUACUAUGAUAUAAUUAUAUGCUGAACUGCUCAGUAUGAACAACUUAAUGUUUUUUGGAAUAAUUGUAAACAGAAAAAGUACUGACUUGGCGUUUUGUCUAUGAUAGCAUUUGGUCACACGUGAGUGCUACUGUAUUAAACAGCUACGGUACAGUACAGUACAGUGACUGUUCAUUACAAAUCUGUGGUCCAAAAUCUCAGCAUAAAUCCUCUACCAAUUAUUCCAUAGCUCUGUCAGCCCUCUCACGGUUCACUUAAAGUACACUGAGCAGAAAGAACAUUCCUGUCAGAGCAUCUGUUUAGUAGAGCACUACACAUCUCUAGGUUCAGACCAGAGAGAUUUAGGUUUUGACAAGAGACACAGAUGUUGAAGGUUGUAGUAGCCUGAAGGAGGGAAGGAGAAGCGAAGGAGGGAGGGAAGAAUAGUUGGAGGGAGGGAAGAAGAGUAGGAGGGAGAGAAGAAGAGUAGGAGGGAGGGAAGAAGAGUAGUAGGGAGAGAAGAAGAGAAGGAGGGAGAGAAGAAGAGUAGGAGGGAGAGAAGAAGAGUAGGAGGGAGGGAAGAAGAGUAGGAGGGAGAGAAGAAGAGUAGGAGGGAGGGAAGAAGAGUAGGAGGGAGGGAAGAUGAGUAGGAGAGAAGUAGGAGGGGGGAAGAAAAGUAGGAGGGAGAGAAGAAGAUUAGGAGGGAAAGAAGAAGAGUAGGAGGGAAGUAGGAGGGAGAGAAGAAGAGUAGGAGGGGGAGAAGAAGAGUAGAAGGGAGGGAAGAAAAGUAGGAGGGAGAGAAGAAGUGUAAGAGGAAUGAAGAGUAGGAGGGAGAGAAGAGGAGUAGGAGGGGGAGAAGAAGAGUAGGAGGGAGUGAAGAAGAGUAGGAGGGAUUGAAGAAGAGUAGGAGGGAAGGGAGAAGAGUAGGAGGGAAGGAAGAAGGGUAGGAGGGAGAGAAGAAGAGGAGGAAGGAGGGAAGAAGAGGACGAGGGAGAGAAGAAAAGUAGGAGGGAGAGAAGAAGGGUAGGAGGGAGAGAAGAAGAGGAGGCAGGAAACAUAGAGAGAGUUUGGAAAACACUGUAAAGAGGGAAAUGGUGGUGUACAUAGUGCAGAUGAACGCACGCUGUAUGACGUAAGACAAUGGGUUCUGAUGAGAGUAUUUAUUACAGUAAUUAAACCGCAGAGAGGCCUUGAUGAUGGUUAUUAAGGUAAAUACAUCACUCAGACCCAGGCCACAUCUUGGUUCUGAUGAGGACACAGUAGGGUUGUGAAUGUCUGGGAAGAACAGAGAGUCUGAGUUAAUAAGGUGCCCGUUAAUGGACCGGGGGAAAACAGUGGUUGCUAAGGUGACUGUUAAUAGAGCUCUGUAUAAACUAAUCAAUGAGCCGGGAGGAGAUCCUGUCUCUCAGUAGAUUAGAUCACACUAAUACAGUAUGUGAAUGUCUCUGUUCCUCUCUGGCUGCCUGUCCAGUCUAUGGCAUGGUCCUCUCAGUGGCAGACCAGAGGAGGAUGGCUGUGUCGAGGUUUUUCCUUGCUCUAUGUUUGCUCUUUUGGGUGUUUAAGUCUCAGACACGCAUUACAUUAAUGGAUUUAUUAUAAUAAUAGACUGUGACAGAUUGAGAUGUAUUAACUAACUGGUUUCAUCCAUGUACUUACUUCCGUAUCCCAGUCAGAGCCUCCAGUACAUCUCCUUCCAGCUGUCCCUCCAGAUCCUCCAUCACCUUCUGGACCAC